GACGAACGCUGGCGGCACGCUUAACACAUGCAAGUCGAACGGAGAUAAUUACUUCGGCAUUUAUCUUAGUGGCGGACGGGUGAGUAACACGUGAGGAACCUGCCUCUGAGUGCGGAAUAGCUUCUGGAAACGGAUGGUAAUACCGCAUAACAUUACUGAAUCGCAUGGUUAGGUAAUCAAAGAUUUAUUGCUCAGAGAUGGCCUCGCGUCUGAUUAGCUAGUUGGUGAGGUAACGGCCCACCAAGGCGACGAUCAGUAGCCGGACUGAGAGGUUGGACGGCCAUAUUGGGACUGAGACACGGCCCAG
rnacentral:rRNA from 1 species